GUAUUAUUCCCUCCGUCCCAAAAUUCUUGUCUUACAUUUGUUUAGAACGGAUGUAUCUAACAUUAAAAUAUAACUAGAUACAUCCGUAUUUAGACAAAUUUAAGAUAAGAAUUUUGGGACGGAGGGAGUACAUA
rfam:Triticum aestivum genome assembly, contig: Triticum_aestivum_CS42_TGACv1_scaffold_212573_3AS